GCUAAAAAUAAAAUUUGUGAUGUGAGUGAAUACAUAUAUUCUUUAUUAACUCAAGAAGCAAAAAGAGUGGAUGGUACUGUAUAUCUGAUAGCUACCAUAAUUUCAAAGAAGUGAUGAGUACACACAAAAUUUUGAUAUAACUUUCAACAAUUGUGAUGUGGUGGGGUUUCUUGGGCUGACUUGUUGUUUGCUACCUACAAUCACAAUGGAACAAAUAUCUCAGUUAGAAGUUAGCAAAAAUAAUGAUGUCAUUUCUUUCCAUCCAAGUUCUUGGACCCAAGGUUAAGAGCACCUUGUCUAGAUGUGUGAGAGAUCCAUUCUCACACUCCAGUGUGCUUGAAAGGAAUCUGGAGGUUGGGAUAAGAUUCAGAACCUCGGAUGUUAAAAUAGAUACGUGUUUGCAAUCCACAGUCUAUAAUAUGUAUAUGCAAUAUUCUUGAGGAAAAAAAAAGAAUACACAGACACAGUAAAUGCAGUUUCUACAAUUUCUCUAAUGUAAGGAAAGGUCAAAAGAUUUAACAAAAGCCGUAUUUCAAUGCCAGCAUUGUCUGGAGAAAGUUAGACGUGAGAGGGAUGGUACUUCUUUAUUGUAAGAUUGAAGAAGAGUAUCUCUUUAUGCAUCUUCAUUUCUCAAGGAGGGAAGAAAUGAGCUCCCCAUCCUCAUUGUCUGGAAUACUCAUGGUUAAGAUCUUUUAAAAAAAGUUUGGUGGGGUGGGUAAAACAUAAUAGAAUUAUUCCUUAUUCUCCUUCUGAAAGGGAUUACCAUGUUGGAUGUAAACGUUAAUCCUGACCUCCAUCCCAACCCUGGAGAAGUGUGAACACUGUAAACUAAAGGAGAGAAAAUUCAAUUUCUCUCAUAUGGUCUAGAUAAUAUGCCUGUGAAAUCUCAGUUCCUUUGAACAACGGAAAAUUGCUUGAAUAUUUAAACAUGCAUUUGUUCUUGGGAAACAAAAUGUUCAGCUCUAGUGGUUGCCACAGCAACUGCCUGGGCUAAAAAUACAGAAUCCACCAUAAGAAGAAAAAGUAUGUACCAAGCGGGAAAGAAAGAGAAAUUGGGAAGUCUCCCAAAGGAAGAUCAUUGGCAGGAAUCAACCUGCAAAGACAAGGAAGGAGGUUGAUCUUGUGGAAAACUUUUUCCCAUGGGGCAAUGUGCUCAGAUGUUGUCACCUGUAAUGAAAGAGCCAUCUGGUACCAUCAUGGGAGCCAGCCUAAGAGGACAAACCAAACUGCUGAAGAUGACAGAGUAGAAAGAUGGAUGGAUAGUGGGUCCUUGAUGACAUCACAGCCACUGAAUUAACCAACGUUGGAAGUUCUCCGACUCUGGGCAUCUCCUUAAGAGAUAAAAUAAAUAAUCUGUUGUUUACUUGUUGUUUA